rnacentral:rRNA from 1 species
UUGAACGCUGGCGGCAGGCCUAACACAUGCAAGUCGAGCGGUAGCACAGAGAGCUUGCUCUCGGGUGACGAGCGGCGGACGGGUGAGUAAUGUCUGGGAAACUGCCUGAUGGAGGGGGAUAACUACUGGAAACGGUGGCUAAUACCGCAUAAUGUCGCAAGACCAAAGUGGGGGACCUUCGGGCCUCAUGCCAUCAGAUGUGCCCAGAUGGGAUUAGCUAGUAGGUGGGGUAACGGCUCACCUAGGCGACGAUCCCUAGCUGGUCUGAGAGGAUGACCAGCCACACUGGAACUGAGACACGGUCCAGACUCCUACGGGAGGCAGCAGUGGGGAAUAUUGCACAAUGGGCGCAAGCCUGAUGCAGCCAUGCCGCGUGUGUGAAGAAGGCCUUCGGGUUGUAAAGCACUUUCAGCGGGGAGGAAGGCGUUAAGGUUAAUAACCUUGGCGAUUGACGUUACCCGCAGAAGAAGCACCGGCUAACUCCGUGCCAGCAGCCGCGGUAAUACGGAGGGUGCAAGCGUUAAUCGGAAUUACUGGGCGUAAAGCGCACGCAGGCGGUCUGUCAAGUCGGAUGUGAAAUCCCCGGGCUCAACCUGGGAACUGCAUUCGAAACUGGCAGGCUAGAGUCUUGUAGAGGGGGGUAGAAUUCCAGGUGUAGCGGUGAAAUGCGUAGAGAUCUGGAGGAAUACCGGUGGCGAAGGCGGCCCCCUGGACAAAGACUGACGCUCAGGUGCGAAAGCGUGGGGAGCAAACAGGAUUAGAUACCCUGGUAGUCCACGCCGUAAACGAUGUCGAUUUGGAGGUUGUGCCCUUGAGGCGUGGCUUCCGGAGCUAACGCGUUAAAUCGACCGCCUGGGGAGUACGGCCGCAAGGUUAAAACUCAAAUGAAUUGACGGGGGCCCGCACAAGCGGUGGAGCAUGUGGUUUAAUUCGAUGCAACGCGAAGAACCUUACCUGGUCUUGACAUCCACAGAACUUUCCAGAGAUGGAUUGGUGCCUUCGGGAACUGUGAGACAGGUGCUGCAUGGCUGUCGUCAGCUCGUGUUGUGAAAUGUUGGGUUAAGUCCCGCAACGAGCGCAACCCUUAUCCUUUGUUGCCAGCGGUCCGGCCGGGAACUCAAAGGAGACUGCCAGUGAUAAACUGGAGGAAGGUGGGGAUGACGUCAAGUCAUCAUGGCCCUUACGACCAGGGCUACACACGUGCUACAAUGGCAUAUACAAAGAGAAGCGACCUCGCGAGAGCAAGCGGACCUCAUAAAGUAUGUCGUAGUCCGGAUUGGAGUCUGCAACUCGACUCCAUGAAGUCGGAAUCGCUAGUAAUCGUAGAUCAGAAUGCUACGGUGAAUACGUUCCCGGGCCUUGUACACACCGCCCGUCACACCAUGGGAGUGGGUUGCAAAAGAAGUAGGUAGCUUAACCUUCGGGAGGGCGCUUACCACUUUGUGAUUCAUGACUGGGGUG